AAUGGAGGACGUUAUGAGCUGCAGAUAUGCAUCCUGGGAAGAAGAGGAAGCUUCUACAGAUCUUCUCUGAGCUGAAGCUCUGAGAUGAGUGCAGAGUUUCCGGACCACAACGGAGAAGUUCCUUCACUCCAUUCAUGCCGCCUUCUCUCCUUACUCACUGUAUACUUAU